GACGAACGCUGGCGGCGUGCUUAACACAUGCAAGUCGAACGAAGUGGCGAACGGGUGAGUAACGCGUAAUCAACCUGCCCUUCAGAGGGGGACAACAGUUGGAAACGACUGCUAAUACCGCAUACUGAAGGAGGGGAUUGCGUCUGAUUAGCUAGUUGGAGGGGUAACGGCCCACCAAGGCGAUGAUCAGUAGCCGGGUUGAGAGGAAGAAGGGCCACAUUGGGGUUGAGACACGGCCCAGACUCGUUAGGGAGGCAGCAGUGGGGAAUUUGCCGCAAUGGAAGAAAGUCUGACGGAGCAACGACGCGGGAGUGAUGACGGCCUGCGGGUUGUAAAGCUAUGUUAAUCGGGACGCGGUACCGGAAUAGAAAGCCACGGCUAACUACGUGCCAGCCGCCGCGGUAAUUC
rnacentral:rRNA from 1 species